CCAGCGCUGUCCAAGAGAGCUUUCUGCCACCGUGGGAAUAUUCUAGAUCUGCGGUGUCCUGUGUGGUAGCCAGCAGCCACGCGUGGCCGUCAAGCCCACGAAAUGUCGCCACCGUGACCGCGAACUAAAUGUUUAAUUUCCUUUACACUCUUAAGAGCACAGGCUCCGGACGCGCAGGCUCAGCGGCCAUGGCUCACAGGCCUAGGCGCUCUGCGGUAUGUGGGAUCUUCCCGGACCGGGACACGAACUCGCGUCCCGUGCAUCGACAGGCGGACUCUCAACCACUGCGCCACCAGGGAAGCCCUGUUUUGUACAGUUUUUUAAAGAGCACAGGCUCCGGACGCGCAGGCUCAGCGGCCAUGGCUCAUGGGCCCAGCAGUUCCACGGCAUGUGGGAUCUUCCCAGACCGGGGCACGAACCCACAUCCCCUGCAUCGGCAGGCGGUCUCUCAACCACUGCACCACCAGGGAAGCCCCUUUCCUGUGGUUUUAAACUGCUGGCCCCCAAAAGGACCCUCCCCACAUCCCCAGCUGGGGGCCCUGCGUAGAGCUGGAGUGGACGCCCCCUCCUUCCCUUCAUGAUUCGUUUGUAGCGCAGUGGCGAUGGAUGAUGAGGAUGGGAGAUGCUUACUAGACGUGAUUUGUGACCCUCAGGCCCUCAACGACUUCUUACAUGGAUCUGAGAAGAGGUGGGCCGGCCCACUGCCCAGCUGACCUUUGACCUUGGGUGGGGGCGGGUCU